AGAGUUUGAUCCUGGCUCAGAUUGAACGCUGGCGGCAUGCUUUACACAUGCAAGUCGAACGGCAGCAGGGGCUUCGGCCUGCCGGCGAGUGGCGAACGGGUGAGUAAUGCAUCGGAACGUGCCCAGUCAUGGGGGAUAACUACGCGAAAGCGUAGCUAAUACCGCAUACGCCCUGAGGGGGAAAGCGGGGGAUCGCAAGACCUCGCGUGAUUGGAGCGGCCGAUGUCGGAUUAGCUAGUUGGUGGGGUAAAGGCCUACCAAGGCGACGAUCCGUAGCGGGUCUGAGAGGAUGAUCCGCCACACUGGGACUGAGACACGGCCCAGACUCCUACGGGAGGCAGCAGUGGGGAAUUUUGGACAAUGGGGGCAAC
rnacentral:rRNA from 1 species